GAGAUCAGGUUGGGUGACACUUAAACAGAUUUCAUCACAUCAGGGAUGAUGAUAGCAGGACAUUUUGGAGAAAAUCAAUUCUGAGACACUUUCUCUAAGGUUUCACCUUUAUUAUCUGUUCAGCAGAGAGCAAACAGAAGAGCUCAUGUUUACAGACGUAUCAUUUUGAUUGUUGCAAUGACACAGUUGCUCGUGAAUAAUCUGUAGGUGUCUCCUCCAGCCCUCACAAGGUCAGCCACAGUCUGUCUCCCGUCAAACUCUUUGGGCAUACAGU